rnacentral:misc_RNA from 1 species
UUUCCGUAGGUGAACCUGCGGAAGGAUCAUUAUUGAAUAAACCUGAUGUGGUUGUAGCUGGCCCUUUCGGGAGCAUGUGCACACCCGUCGUCUUUAUCUUUCCACCUGUGCACCUUUUGUAGACCUGGAUGUAACACCUUCCGAGGCAACUCGGUCGGGAGGAAUGCUGUCAGCUUUCCUUGAAUGUCCAGGCCUAUGUUUUCAUACACCCCAAAGAAUGUAACAGAAUGUAUUAUUGGGCCUUGUGCCUAUAAACUAUAUACAACUUUCAGCAACGGAUCUCUUGGCUCUC